rnacentral:rRNA from 1 species
UACGUAGGGUGCGAGCGUUGUCCGGAAUUAUUGGGCGUAAAGGGCUCGUAGGCGGUUUGUCGCGUCGGAUGUGAAAAUCCAGGGCUCAACCCUGGACCUGCAUUCGAUACGGGCAGACUAGAGUUCGGUAGGGGAGACUGGAAUUCCUGGUGUAGCGGUGAAAUGCGCAGAUAUCAGGAGGAACACCGGUGGCGAAGGCGGGUCUCUGGGCCGAAACUGACGCUGAGGAGCGAAAGCGUGGGGAGCAAACAGG